rnacentral:rRNA from 1 species
UGGGGAAUCUUGCACAAUGGAGGAAACUCUGAUGCAGCGACGCCGCGUGAGCGAAGAAGCCUUUCGGGGUGUAAAGCUCUUACGCCAGGGACGAUAAUGACGGUACCUGGAGAAGCAGCUGCGGCUAACUACGUACCAGCAGCCGCGGUAAUACGUAGGCAGCAAGCGUUGUUCGGAAUUACUGGGCGUAAAGGGUGCGUAGGCGGCGCUCUAAGUUUGGUGUGAAAUCUCCCGGCUUAACUGGGAGGGUGCACUGAAAACUGGGGCGCUCGAGUAUGGGAGAGGAAAGCGGAAUUCCUGGUGUAGCGGUGAAAUGCGUAGAGAUCAGGAGGAACACCUGCGGUGCAGACGGCUUUCUGGACCAUCACUGACGCUGAGGCACGAAAGCGUGGGUAGCAAACA